AAAAAAUACACCUUCAGUAAGAAAACACAGCAGAAAAAAGUGCUGGUGGGUGGCUGCUUUCUCUUUUCAUCAGUGCAGUGCUGGGUUGAGGGAGGAGGUGAAAUAUCCCUGCUCUUCACUCCGCAGAGGCGGCUGCUUCUCCAGGCUGUCUGGGUUCCUGCGUGCUCUGCACCACAGCUCCAGCCAUGGGCUGGCUUGUGGGCGAUGCUGGCGGGCAGCCCAGGAGACCCAAGCUUGCAUCAGGUGGCCCUGCCCCAAGUUGUGCCCUCCACGCAGUGGCAGGGUCUGCUUCCUGGGCACAGUCUUGCUCUACUCUUUCCUCAUUCCCCCUUUUCUGUCUUAGGUGUGUAUGUGUGAGCAUCGACUCCAAAAUACCUUUCAAAAACUUGGUUGGCAUGAGUUGCACAGAGCUGCAAGCCUCUCGGAUGUCAAAGUCUCUUAAAGGAGGUUAUCCAUGGAAGAACAAGAGGAGUAAUACGCAAAUGUGCAAGAAAGAUUUUUAAAGUCACUUUUAUCAAGAAAAAUGUGCAAGCGUGCAUCCCUCAAGACAUUGAAUAAGUGUCCCUAAAAAGGGAUUUACCAGGGAUGUUGGUGGUGAGAUUCUCUCUGGGGAAACUACCAUGUUCUCCCUCCUCAUAAAUGCUUUGUUUUCAUCCAUUUUACGUUCAUGUCUUCAAGUUAUGCUAUUUUCAGUCAAGGCUAUGCGUUGAUGGCAUGCUUGUCCUGGAAGGUGGCAGACCCUACUGAUCGGUGACACAGGCGGCAAAGCUGGCUUCUGCCUUCCCUGACAUCCAGAUGCAGGAGCUGAGAGAAAUACUGUGUCUCUGGAGAUGAAGGGUCCCUGCCG
ensembl:lncRNA